UCUCGAUUAGUAUAGUGGUCAGUAUGCCAGCUUGUCAUCUAUCCUGCGGGUAAAUACGCUGGAGACCGUGAGUGAAAUCACAACUGCCGUGAUCUCAAAUCCAUACUAAUCCAGUCACAGGGGGUUCAAUUCCCCGAUCGAGAG